rnacentral:rRNA from 1 species
GUGGGGAAUAUUGGGCAAUGGGCGAAAGCCUGACCCAGCAACGCCGCGUGAAGGAAGAAGGUUUUCGGAUCGUAAACUUCUAUCCUUGGUGAAGAUAAUGACGGUAGCCAAGAAGGAAGCCCCGGCUAACUACGUGCCAGCAGCCGCGGUAAUACGUAGGGGGCAAGCGUUGUCCGGAAUGAUUGGGCGUAAAGGGCGCGUAGGCGGCCCGGUAAGUCUGAAGUGAAAGUCCUGCUUUUGAGGUGGGAAGUGCUUUGGAUACUGUCGGGCUUGAGUGCAGGAGAGGUAAGCGGGAUUCCCGGUGUAGCGGUGAAAUGCGUAGAGAUCGGGAGGAACACCAGUGGCGAAGGCGGCUUACUGGACUGUAACUGACGCUGAGGCGCGAAAGUGUGGGGAGCAAACAGGAUUAGAAACCCUGGUAGCCC